UCUAUUUUACAUCGAAUUUUCGAUCUUUUUCGGGUCCAAUUUCAAGUUCAAUAUUGGGCUCGUUACAUUAAUGAAUUGGGGAGCUGCCACCUCCUUUUUAUGCAAAGCGUGGGUGUUGAAUUAUAAUUGAUUUUCAAAGGAGGUGGCAGCCCUUUUUUAUUUAAAAGGACAACCAUAUUUUUUCAAAAAGAAAAAAAAAUGAAAAAGAAAAAACUUAUCGAUUACAACGAAAAACUCUCCCAGUUCUCUCUCAAAAUUCCAAAAUCUCAUUACACCCUGAAUUCACAACACCCCCAAUCUCACUAAACCUGC
rnacentral:lncRNA from 1 species